rnacentral:rRNA from 1 species
UCUUUGACGCAAGUUGUGCCCGAGGCCUUGUGGUCGAGGGCACGCCUGCUUGGGCGUCAUGGCAUCGUCGCUUUUGCUCCAUGCUUUGUCGGCGUUGAACGCGGAAGUUGGCCCCGUGUGCCCUCGCGGUUGGCCUAAAUCCAAGAUAAGGACGUCAGGAGCGUCUUGACAUGAGGUGGUUAAUUCAACUCUCGUAAUAUCGUCAGACCUUCCGGUCCAUUUCUCUUGAUGACCCAAAAUCCUCACCGCGACCCCAGGUCAAGCGGGAUCACCCGCUGAGUUUAACCAUAUCAUUAAGCGGAGGAAAACUCACGCGAGACCACCCACCGAUUUAAUUCAUAUAAAUAAACAAAAAAAAAAA